UACAGAGGUCCCAAGCGUUGUUCGGAUUCACUGGGCGUAAAGGGUGCGUAGGUGGUGAGGUAAGUCGGAUGUGAAAUCUCCGGGCUCAACCCGGAAAUGGCAUUGGAAACUACCUUGCUGGAGGAUUUGAGGGGGGAUUGGAAUUCUUGGUGUAGCGGUGAAAUGCGUAGAUAUCAAGAGGAACACCUGAGGUGAAGACGGGUUGCUGGGCUGACACUGACGCUGAGGCGCGAAAGCCAGGGGAGCAAACGGG
rnacentral:rRNA from 1 species